AACGAACGCUGGCGGCAUGCCUAACACAUGCAAGUCGAACGAGACCUUCGGGUCUAGUGGCGCACGGGUGCGUAACGCGUGGGAACCUGCCCUUAGGUUCGGGAUAACUCCCCGAAAGGGGUGCUAAUACCGGAUAAUGUCUUCGGACCAAAGAUUUAUCGCCUUUGGAUGGGCCCGCGUUGGAUUAGCUAGUUGGUAGGGUAAUAGCCUACCAAGGCGACGAUCCAUAGCUGGUCUGAGAGGAUGAUCAGCCACACUGGGACUGAGACACGGCCCAGACUCCUACGGGAGGCAGCAGUGGGGAAUAUUGGACAAUGGGCGAAAGCCUGAUCCAGCAAUGCCGCGUGAGUGAUGAAGGCCUUAGGGUUGUAAAGCUCUUUUACCCGGGAUGAUAAUGACAGUACCGGGAGAAUAAGCUCCGGCUAACUCCGUG
rnacentral:rRNA from 1 species